ACUUUCAGCAACGGAUCUCUUGGCUCUCGCAUCGAUGAAGAACGCAGCGAAAUGCGAUAAGUAAUGUGAAUUGCAGAAUUCAGUGAAUCAUCCAAUCUUUGAACGCACCUUGCGCUCCUUGGUAUUCCGAGGAGCAUGCCUGUUUGAGUGUCAU
rnacentral:rRNA from 1 species